AACGAACGCUGGCGGCAGGCCUAACACAUGCAAGUCGAGCGCGCCCUUCGGGGUGAGCGGCGGACGGGUGCGUAACGCGUGGGAACGUGCCCUUUUCUACGGAAUAGCCUCGGGAAACUGAGAGUAAUACCGUAUACGCCCUUUGGGGGAAAGAUUUAUCGGAAAAGGAUCGGCCCGCGUUGGAUUAGGUAGUUGGUGGGGUAAUGGCCUACCAAGCCGACGAUCCAUAGCUGGUCUGAGAGGAUGAUCAGCCACACUGGGACUGAGACACGGCCCAGACUCCUACGGGAGGCAGCAGUGGGGAAUCUUAGACAAUGGGGGCAACCCUGAUCCAGCCAUGCCGCGUGAGUGAUGAAGGCCUUAGGGUUGUAAAGCUCUUUCAGCUGGGAAGAUAAUGACGGUACCAGCAGAAGAAGCCCCGGCUAACUCCGUG
rnacentral:rRNA from 1 species